GUCUCGACACCAUAUAUAUCCAUUUGGGUUCUAAUGGUGAGGAAAAGCACACAACAUGUCAGAUGUACAAUACGAGCUGUGGAAGUGGAUGUACUUCACCCGCCAACUGACACUGAUAUAGAAAAAGUGUCUGUUCCAAAACACACCAUCACAAGUAUUAGGCAUUCUAUAGGUCUGGUGACUAAUGACUCAAAGUAAUGCUGCACCGAUUACCUGGCUGAACGAUUCCCAUUACAGCAUUUUCAAGGAAACAUCUCAAAAUUGGAUAAAAGAAAACUUGUUUCAGUGGAGCGCUGACUUGGUAUGAUUUCCUUGUACAAGACUUUCCUAUAGACAAGACAGUACAUACCGAUGCACCAGUCAUGAGCACUGUUUGGGGUGGACAAAAAACGAUUCCAUUGGUGACGAUGAUUAUCGAUUCCGAGAUCCGUCCCACUUCAGCCGAGCUAUACUCCACCUCACUACACAUUUGGAGAGAGGGGUCUGGAUUUAACCAUCGGCGACACCAUUCGUAGAACAAAGGCGGACGAUGAGGAGAAAAAAUGCUGCUCUUCGCCGAUGACCCUGCUGGCCUCUGGUGCGAUUUCGUGUAGAAUGACAAACAAUAACACAACUGAUUAAAGAUGGACAAUUCAUUCUAGUCAUUGCUGGGCUUAAAAACAGGGGAACAAAUUUCAUAACCACAAUUUUGUUUUCCAAUGUAUGCAGAUUGCGUUUAUGUAGAUUUUAAACGUCUAAAUGCAUAAAUGUUGACAUCUUU
rnacentral:lncRNA from 1 species